rnacentral:rRNA from 1 species
GUCAGAGCAUUGCCUCAGUACGGCGAGUGAAGCGGCAAAAGCUCAAAUUUUAAAGCUGACAUCUUCGGUGUCCGCGUUGUAAUUUUGUGAGGCAUCUCCGGGUAGGGCGCCGGCCUAAGUUCCUUGGAACAGGACGUCACAGAGGGUGAGAAUCCCGUGCUUGGCUGGCUGUCCCCGUCCAUGUGAGGUGUCUUCGACGAGUCGAGUUGUUUGGGAAUGCAGCUCAAAAUGGGUGGUAAAUUUCAUCUAAAGCUAAAUAUUGGUGGGAGACCGAUAGCGCACAAGUAGAGUGAUCGAAAGAUGAAAAGCACUUUGAAAAUAGAGUUAAAAAGUACGUGAAAUUGUUGAAAGGGAAGCGCUUGAGACCAGACUUCGGUAAGGGGUGAUCAGCCGUCCUUUUGGGCGGUGCACUUGCCCCCCUCCGGGCCAGCAUCGGUUGAGGCGGCGGGAUAAAGGUCCCGGGAAUGUGGCUCCUUCACGGGAGUGUUAUAGCCCGGGUGAAUGCCGCCAGCUUCGACCGAGGACCGCACCCGCAAGGGUUAGGAUGCUUGGCAUAAUGGUCUUCAGCGACCCGUCUUGAACCACCGGACCA